CAGUAGCCGCGGUAAAACGGAGGGGGCUAGCGUUGUUCGGAAUUACUGGGCGUAAAGCGCACGUAGGCGGCUUGGUAAGUUAGAGGUGAAAGCCUGGAGCUCAACUCCAGAAUUGCCUUUAAGACUGCCGAGCUAGCAGGUGAGAGAGGUAAGUGGAAUUCCGAGUGUAGAGGUGAAAUUCGUAGAUAUUCGGAAGAACACCAGCGGCGAAGGCGGCUUACUGGCUCAUACUGGACGCUGAGGUGCGAAAGCGUGGGGAGCAAACAGGAUUAGAUACCCCCGUAGUCCCUGUCUCUUAUAC
rnacentral:rRNA from 1 species